AGUGAACGCUGGCGGCAGGCCUAAUACAUGCAAGUCGAACGGCAGCACAGCAGAGCUUGCUCUGUGGGUGGCGAGUGGCGGACGGGUGAGGAAUACAUGGGAAUCUGCCCAGUCGUGGGGGAUAACGUAUGGAAACGUACGCUAAUACCGCAUGCGCCCUACGGGGGAAAGCCGGGGACCUUCGGGCCUGGCGCGAUUGGAUGAGCCCAUGUUCGAUUAGCUAGUUGGCGGGGUAACGGCCCACCAAGGCGACGAUCGAUAGCUGGUCUGAGAGGAUGAUCAGCCACACUGGGACUGAGACACGGCCCAGACUCCUACGGGAGGCAGCAGUGGGGAAUUUUGGACAAUGGGGGCAACCCUGAUCCAGCAACGCCGCGUGAAUGAAGAAGGCCUUAGGGUUGUAAAGUUCUUUUAUCUGUGGACAAAGACUAUAUGUGAAUAGCAUAUGGGGAUGAGAGUAACAGAAGAAU
rnacentral:rRNA from 1 species